UACGAAGGACCCGAGCGUUAUCCGGAUUUAUUGGGUUUAAAGGGUGCGUAGGCGGAUUAUUAAGUCAGUGGUGAAAGCCUACAGCUUAACUGUAGAAUUGCCAUUGAUACUGAUGAUCUUGAGUAUGAUUGAGGUGGGCGGAAUGUGUCAUGUAGCGGUGAAAUGCUUAGAUAUGACACAGAACACCGAUUGCGAAGGCAGCUGGCUAAACUAAAAUUGACGCUGAGGCACGAAAGUGUGGGGAUCAAACAGG
rnacentral:rRNA from 1 species